rnacentral:rRNA from 1 species
GACGAACGCUGGCGGCGUGCUUAACACAUGCAAGUCGAACGGAAAGGCCCUGCUUUUGUGGGGUGCUCGAGUGGCGAACGGGUGAGUAACACGUGAGUAACCUGCCCUUGAUUUUGGGAUAACUUCAGGAAACUGGGGCUAAUACCGGAUAGGAGCUCCUGCUGCAUGGUGGGGGUUGGAAAGUUUCGGCGGUUGGGGAUGGACGCGCGGCUUAUCAGCUUGUUGGUGGGGUAGUGGCUUACCAAGGCUUUGACGGGUAGCCGGCCUGAGAGGGUGACCGGCGACAUGGGGACUGAGGGAGGGCGCAGUCGGGUACGGGAGGCAGCAGUGGGAAAUAUGACACAGUGAGCGGAAGCCUGAGGCGGCGACGCCGCGUGCGGGAUGACGGCCUUCGGGUUAUAAACCGCUGUCGCCUGUGACGAAGCGUGAGUGACGGUAAUGGAUAAAGAAGCACCGGCUAACUACGUG